GGGGUUUUCUCUUAUCUCCAUUUAUAGAGAGAACAGGAUGAAGAAUGAAAGAGUGAAAAUGUAUUCCGAUAAUGUUCUGUCAUAUGGAGCCACAUGGGAGCAUCUUUAAAUGGCCUCGUCAGCGCGCAUGUCCUUUGUCCGACGUGCCGGUGGUCGCGGUGGCGGGCCUUUUCGCGAGCACGUGGCAUAAUUAAUAACUUUAUGGUAUCCUAUCAUAGUGCAGAGCAGAC
rnacentral:lncRNA from 1 species